rnacentral:lncRNA from 1 species
GGUUCUGGAUACUAGAAGUUCAAGAUCAGGGUGCCAGCAUGAUCUUCUGGAAGAGCCCUUUUCCUGGUUUGUGAAUAAUUGACUUCUCUGUUGUCUUCAGAUGGCACAGAGGGAGGGAGGGCAGGAAGGAGGAAGAGAGAAGAGAGAGAAAAAGUUCUUUGGUGUCUCUUCUUAUAAAGGCAUUGACUCUAUGGUGAGGGCCUCCCUUAGGACCAAGAGUCCCAUCUCCAAAUGUCACCAUUAGAGCUUCAACUUGUGAAGUUUUCUGGGGAUAUAAUUCAGUUCAUACUAAUGUUUGUGCCAUUUUUUCAAGCCAGUCUCUAAAGUGUUGUUCAUGAAACAUAGGUCGGUCACCACUUCUUUGCAAUUCAGAAUAAAGUUCUAAUUUCUUCUUAUAAUUAUUGAGGCCCUCAGACCCUACCCUGCCUAUUUAAUGCUUCACUGUUUUAUCUCUCUGCCUUCAUGUUGGUUGAGUCCCCCAGGAAGCAGACACCAACAUGGAAUUGGAAGUGCGGGAGAGGUAUUGGGUAGAAAGUCUGUGAAAGGUAACAGGCAGAGGGAGACAGAGUAGGCAGCUAAACUGUAGGUUGCAGCAUCAGUCUGGCACCUGUGACUAGGAAGAGGAGAUAGAGGAUGAUUGGGUGGGAAGAGCCUUGGACUGCAGUGCAUCUCACUGAGCAAGUCUUGUGCACCCAUCAUAGACACCUCCCACUGAUGAGGAGGGAGCCAUGCUCAGCUACGGGCUGCAGCUGCCUGAGGAGGUCAUAGGCUCAGCUUGUAAGCCAAGGUACAUCGGGAAGUCAC